rnacentral:lncRNA from 1 species
GAAGGUCACCACGCGUGAGUGCUAGUCUUGCACGUGAACUGCCACACUACUGCUGGCCUUGAUCUCAAAUGCAAGCGCUGAAUGGACGCCGACCUCGAGCGUGUACUUGUGCCUCCGCGGUGAAGGGUGGGAGAUUCGACAUGAAUUUAUGUGCGUAGAUGGACUUUCUAUCGGUACACAACUUGAGAGUUUCUAGUGCUAUGUGUGUGUGUGUGGGUGUGGGUGGUUGGGUUUUUUAUUUUUAUUUUUGUGUUUUUCUGUUCGUAGGGGAUGAUUCUGCAAACGCUUCAGUUGUGAAAGUUCAGGUCAUUGAUCCGAAUGUUCUGAGAAUCAAUGAAAGGUGGCUCUUCACCUCUCCUUCGAGUUUCUACUACCUCGCAGUAAUAAUUCAUGCAAGCUUUACAUUCGGAACAUUAAAUUUGUUUUGCUAUUCUUUCCUCUUCGAUGUGACGACUCGCUGUCGCUUCCGGAUUGGUCUUCUUUCCCACCAUUCUUUUUAUAAAAAGCUGACAAGUUGAACUGUAAUAUCUAAUGGAAAGAGCAACACUCUGUGCAAAAGAAUUAGGUUGAGCCGAAUACAGGAACGACACUUGGAUUGAGUUUUCUUUCUAGAAGAGUCGUUUCUGCGCAGGCCAAUUUCGCCCGAGCACAAACAGUGAUCAUGCAAUCCAUCCUCUGACACCACCCAUCAUUUUCAAACGAGCAAAUCACAGGGCAAUAGCUGAAGGGAUCCCUGAAGCUAAAAGAUGUCUUCACAUGGCUGCC